UCUAUUGAAAGUAACAUAUGCAUUGUUCUGGGUUUCAUGUUCUGAUUCUUUGCACAGGGAAGUUGAAAUCUAUCCAGAGGACAGUGACAAGCACAGGUGUGAGAGAGACACCAUCUGUGACCUGCACCUGGGGGUCUGGCUUCAAAAUGUGUCCUCAGCAGAUACUCUUGGGAUGGCUCAGCUAAAAGGCAGCUGUCACCUCUGAGAAGCUUGUUACUGAGUAUUAUACAAUGAAACUACCCUGGUGGCCAAACCUUGAGAAUGGCUUGAUAAACACCCACCUCCAUACUACAUCACUGGAGUUCUGUUCGUUCUGAAUCCUCUGCAAGACUAGAGGCUCUAACAGAGCUAAGUGCUGGGCCUGGAGGCUCCACGCUCUGCUUCAGGUCAAUGAAGAAUGCCAUUGACAGAGGCACUUGUGAGAGCUCUUGGUUUUGGUUUUCCAGUAGCCACAGAAACCAGGAAGGAGCAGUAGGAAGACACAGAACUGCCUCCACCCUCCUCUCAGCCCCUACCCCGAGCAGCUUGUAAGAAUCAUUUACUCAUGUUUCCUGUAAGACUCCAUUUGAACACAGAGUUCUACCAGCAAAUACGUCCACAUAUUGAUUUUUCAUAAAAUGAAAUGCAGCCACUCUUCAGUGCCACAGCAGAGCUACUAUCCUGCUGGCCUCAGAAGGAUGAGAGGCAUGUGGACAGUGCUGUCACUGCAGUAACCCCAGCUGAAGCCAGCAGCCAACCCCCAGCCGCAGAAGCAAGCCUGAUUUAUAAGGAGCAGAGCCAAUCCCCAGCUGACCUCAGUCAUGCACCACCUGAGGAACUGGACACCCCGUGGUGACCUGGACAGAAAGGUGGCAGCCCCUCUGCAGUUCAGGUCUUGGUGGGGAAGACCCACCACAACAGUGUAGCUACAAAAUGCAGAGAAUCAGAGGGUCCCACCACACCGACUUUAAUCCAACGAAGGGACAGCUCUGUCCUGGACUCUGCACAAAUGUCGAGGUCAUGAAGAAAAAGAAAGACUGAGAACCUGUUCCAGAUGGAAGGAAAUUAGAGAUGUGACACUGAAUACACCUUAUGAUCUGGGAUGGGAUCCUAGACCCCAGGACAUUAGUGGGUCAGUGGCAAGAUCUGAGUAAGGCUUGUAGAUAAGAUAAUCGCCCUGGUGUCAUUAACUCAAACCUGAUUUGAGUAACUGCACUGCAGCUCUAUAAGAAAAGGUCUUUCUUAGAAAAUGCAUGCUGAAGAACUGAUGGCCAAAAGAGCAUGAAGUCUGCAGCUCACUCUCAAAUGGUUUCUAGAAAAAAGUAAUAGCAUGUAUACAAAUGGAAAAUGAUCAAACAAAUAUGAAACGGUAACAAACGGAGAACCUGAGUGAAGGGGAGAUGGGGAGU